CGUGUAGGCGGUUCGGUAAGUUGGAUGUGAAAGCUCCCGGCUUAACUGGGAGAGGUCGUUCAAUACUGCCGAGCUAGAGGAUGGUAGAGGGAGGUGGAAUUCCGAGUGUAGUGGUGAAAUGCGUAGAUAUUCGGAGGAACACCAGUGGCGAAAGCGGCCUCCUGGACCAUUUCUGACGCUCAGACGCGAAAGCUAGGGUAGCAAACGG
rnacentral:rRNA from 1 species